CCUACACUGACACACCAUUAUCGCCCAGAAUCCAGAGUUUACAUUAAGGUUCACUCUUGGUGUUGUGAAUUUCUAUGGCUUUGGAGAAAUGUAUAACAAUGUAUCCACCAUUAUAGUAUCAUACUUAGUGUUUGACUGCCCUGAAAAUCCUCUGUGCUUUGCCUAUUUAUCCUCUUACUGUUGAGUUUCUUGUAGACAAUAUAUAGUUGUCCUGCUUUUUUUGUGGAUUACCCCUGAGCUGACAUCUGGCGCCGAUCCUCCUCUUUUCGCUGAGGAAGACUCGCCCUGAGCUAACAUUCGUGCCCAUCUUCCUCUACUUUAUAUGUGGGAUGCCUGCCACAGCAUGGCUUGACAAGAGGUGCGUUGGUCCACACCCGGGAUCUGGGCCUGGGAUCGGAACCGGUGAACCCCAGGCUGCCAAAGCGGAACGUGCGAACCCAACCGCAGCGCCACCAGGCUGGCCCCAGUUGUCUUGCUUUUUGAUUGAUUCUGUCGAUGUCUAUCUUUUAGUUGGUGUAUUUACACCAUUGACAUUUAAAGUGAUUAUCGAUAUAUUUGAAUUAAUACCUACUGUAUUUGUUUCUAUUGUCUACCCAUUGUCUUUGUUCUUUAUUCUUAUUUUUGUCUCCCACCUUUUUUCUGUUAUUUCUGGUUUUAACUGAACAUUUUAUAUGAUUGAUUUUUCUCUCCUUUCUUAGCUUCUUUUUUCACUUUUUUAGUGGUUGCCCUAGAUAAAAUUUGCAAUAUACAUUUACACCCAAGUCCACUUUCAAAUAACACUACACUCCUUCUCGGGUAGUACAAGUACUUUACAAUAACAAAAUGUUCUUAAUCCUUCCUCCUGUCCAUUCCUUAUACCUUGAAUCGAUGCUGUCACUCAUCUCACUUAUACAGAAACAUACGGAACUAUAUAUAUACUUAUAUAUGCAAUUGCAUAUGCUUGCAUAUUAUAUGUAUAAUACAUAAGCAUAUAUAACUGAAUACAUUGCUGCUAUUGUUAUUUUAAAUAAACUGUUAAGAAUAGAAAAAUAAGUUUUUAUUUACCUUCAUUUAUUCUUUCUCCAAGGCUCUUCCUUUUUAGAUCCUAUUUCUGACCUAUAUCAAUUUCCUUCUGUUGGAGGUCAUCGAGAGGGCGUGACUGAUGGUUGACCUGAGAGCUUGAGGUCCCUCCCCGCCGCCCUGUCCUUGGAACGUAUGCUCUGCCCACCAUUCCCACAGUAGGAUCUGUUUUCAAGGACAUAGCCUUGAGAAAGCAACGUGUUGUUGAGACCGUCUGGAUGGACUGAACCCAGUUAAGGCCUCUACUCGUCUUGCGACUGUACAAGGCAAACCUCAUAUAUGAUUGCCUGUCAAAUUGCCUGAACUUGAGGGUUGCCUUAAAAAAAAAAGAGGAGGGGUGAUGGUGACGAGGAUAACAGCAAAUGUCAGAAGGUGUCAAGUCCCAUCCCAUUCGACACCAAACCAAGACUGUCUCCCUGAUGUGAUCAGAAAGAUGGCGGAGAGUUGAAAGAGGAAUCUCAUGCCAAGAUUCAAUACUAGGGCUAUGUCCGUGUACCCCGAAUCAUCUGUGGUGCCAACCAGACCGUGUGUCCCACACUCUGCGAAACUAGCAUCAUGCUCUGAGACCACUGGCUGCACAGUUACAGGCCCAGGAUGGAAUCAAG
ensembl:lncRNA